GACGGAGGAUGCAAGCGUUAUCCGGAAUGAUUGGGCGUAAAGCGUCCGCAGGUGGCAGUUCAAGUCUGCUGUCAAAGACCGGGGCUUAACUUCGGAAAGGCAGUGGAAACUGAACAGCUAGAGUAUGGUAGGGGCAGAGGGAAUUCCUGGUGUAGCGGUGAAAUGCGUAGAGAUCAGGAAGAACAUCGGUGGCGAAGGCG
rnacentral:rRNA from 1 species